rnacentral:lncRNA from 1 species
AUGAGCGGGGUCACCCCUUUCCUCCACAGCAAGAUCAGCCACAUCUCCAAGGCACAGAUCUGCUACGAGGGCAUCCUCUGCACCAUCGACACGUAGAACCCCACCGUAGCCCUCGCUAAAAUUCAAUUUUCUGGUACAGAAGAUAGAUCGUCCAAUACCACCUCAAGAUGAACUAUUGUAAUACAUUGUAUUCCAUAGGAGUGACAUUAAAGACCUCACUGUGAGCCACCAAAACCACAGUGUUCUUUGCCUGAAGACCCAGCUAUCCUUCAGUCCUCACUAGGCUCAUCAACUUCUUCAUUCUGGUGCGUGGGGUUCUCAUGGGCCUUUGGGCAGGAUGCUCAUAUACAGUCGGUUCAGUCCAAGCUCCUUAGUUGGGCAGGAGUUUGGUGCCGUUGCUGUUGCUGGAAGCUCUUUGAUAUCGUUUGGAACAGAAACAUCAAACAGUGGUGUCUUACCCCAAAGUAGUAUGGUUGACUCUGCCUUAACACAGGAUACAAGAUCUCUAAAAACACAGUUAUCUCAAGGUCACUCAAGCCCUCAGUUAGACCCUUUGAGAAAAAGCCCAACCACUGAACAAGCAGUGAAGACUGUCUCGGCCCAUUUACCUGCUCCAGCACCUGUUGGGAGAAGGAGCCCUGUAUCAACUAGGCAAUAGAGAUCAAGAGCACUGGUGAGCUGAAGUACACAAUGUUUCAAGACCAGAAAAUGAGCAACUCAGAAAUGAUAGCAAGAGACAAGUAGCUCCAGGUACUCCUUCAGCUCCAAGGAGAGGGCGUGGGGUUCAGCCGGGUAGCAGGGGAAGAUUUCGUAUUCUGCGAGAUGGGCCAAUGAAAUUUGAGAAAGACUUUGACUUUGAAAGUGCAAAUGCACAAUUCAACAAGGGAGAGAUCGACAGAGAGUUUCAUAAUAAACUUAAAAGAAGAUAAACUGAGAAACAGGAGGAGCCUGUAAAUGGUGAAGAUAAAGGUGACCCAGGAGUUGAUACCCCAAAAGUAAAGGAAGUGCUGAUGAAGAAGAUCCACUUGGACCUAACUGCUAGUAGGAAAAAACUAAAUCCUUCUUUGAUAAUAUUUCUUGUGAUGACAAUAGGGAACGGAUAUCAACCUGGGCUGAAGAAAGAAGAUUAAAUGCUGAAACAUUUGGAAUCCCACUUUGUCCAAAUCGUGGCUGUGGGAGACGCAGAGGCAGAGGGAUCUUCGGUUUCUGUGGUGGCAGAGGGCAUGGUGGUAGCAGAUGUGGUACUUUAACCAUCCCUGGAGGAUUUCGCAGUGGAUUCAGAGGAGGUCCUGGGGGCAGGGAGUUUUCGGAUUUCUAAUGUAGGAAAGACAACAAAGUUGCUGUAUAG